UUGAUGUCAUGGCUCAGUGGUAGAGCAUUUGCCUAAUAUGCAUGAAGGCCUGGGUUCAAUUCUCAACACCAAA
rnacentral:tRNA from 1 species